GGCUGAGACCUCACGGGCCACCCCCAACUCUCGCGACUCCCUCUCCCUCUCGCGCACGCCACCACCUCCACCGUCGCCCCUGGCCGCAGCCAGGGCGCCCACUCGCCAGCAGCUGUGCAAGCCUCCUCCUCCCUCCUCUCAUCCCUACGCCCUCCACAAUCGCGGUAGGAUCAACGAUCCUAUCACCAUAUGUUAGGAAUUGAAGUUUGAGCAAUAAUGCAGCUCGCAAGUCACAGUGGCAUCUUCUGGGCACAGAUGAGUCAUUGCUUCAGUAUUCUUAAGCUCAAGUUGACCUGUCAUCUCCUCAUGGUGGUGAUCUUGCAACGCCAUCUGUCUGCCCUGCCCAAGGACAAGGGCUGUGAUUCUGAUGAUGUUAGCAUACUUAUCUGUCUGCCCAUUUCAACCAUCUGAUGCAUAUAUUGGCUAGCAGUGAAGGGAAUGGUUGCACAUGUUCGUGUGGUGCUGGAACAGAUCGAAGACUGAACCAAUGAUUUUUCACCAACCGCUGCUGUGCUUGUCACAGAAUAACGCUAGUGUGAUCUUGAAAUUGGAGUGCAGAACUUCCAAACGCCGACAGGGAAUAAAGGAUGUGGUAGUCAUAACAAUAAAGAGCAAAUUGUCCCAUUGGUAGUGGAACAGGCAGAAAUCAAGCUGAAAGAUCUUUGCACAGAUUCUGCGAGCCUUUAAUCGAAAAAGGAGUGAAGUAGAGGAGGUAGAAUAAAGCUAUCUGAUGCAAUGAUAGAUGAUUAGAUGGUAUGCAUACGAUGCUUGAGAGCUCAGUUGUAGACAGUUCAGCAAAGGAAAAUUAUACUAUGGAAAAGGAUAAGCAACUCAGAGAGCAUUAAGACAAAGUUCUUCUUCACGAUUCGUCCGUCGUACGUCGUCGCGCGUCGGUCUGCCCCUGCGAUCGUCGGUCUGCCGCUACUAAAUCAGGGCCCUCUGAUUUUCGUCGUCUUGCCGCUACACCAUCCUGACGCUCCGAUUUACAUCAUCCCACCCGUGUUCCCUGGCCGAAAUUCACGGUACAUCUUCCCUCGACGGGCUAACUGACCGAUGAUUGCGCCCCCGCCUCUCCUUCCCAUCACGCAGUGCCAAAAUAAAUAGCAGUAUUGUUGGCGGCUCUGUCUCUCUACAUAGAGUCGAGGGUGCCAUAAGGGAAGACACCGGACGAACUCAACGCACACGGCAAAUCCACUCCGAGCACUCAAAACAGAGAGUUAUGGUGCCUUCUAAAGGAUGUGCGGAACGCAUCCUAUUCAAUGAUCUGUCCAACGCCAUUAACCUAAAUGAUACAGGUGGCGCCACAAAUAUCAUUGUUGGAGAGGCAAUGACUUCUGAUGAUAUUCCAACACCAGAAGAUUUCGGACAACAAAGGAGAACGAGAUAGGGAACAGUAUGCACAAAUGUCUGUCCAACAAAAGGAAAAAUUACUGAAAAAGCGAUGUGAAAAUUACCAACAAAAGAAGACUGCAACCACCAAUAUUGGAGCUGAACACAAACACUUGCUAGAGGACAUUAUACUAGCAUGUCCGUACAACAUAGACAAAAAUUAACAGAUGAGCAAAUUGAGACACGGCGUGCAAAAGAUAGGGCACGUUAUGCAAAUAUGACACCUAAGCAGAGGCAAGCAAUACGUGAUCGUCAAAAUGCGCGUAAUAUGAAGCCCAAACAAAAGCAGGCACAGAAGGACCAGUACAGAGCAUGUCGAGAAUUGUGUCGUAACACUCUACAUAAAGACUCCAUUGCAAUGGCAAACCCCUUUUAUAACUCAAUGGAUGACUCCCCUUGAGGUUCGGCUUUUUUUUGAACCGGCAAUAUGAAUGAAUAUAAGAUGCAUUAUUCAGUUCAUGAAUAAAAUUAGAUGUGCUGCAUAUAUUUCUCCGUCAUACAUCAGUUACAGUCUAAGUGUAAUUUAUGUUGUUUACGGAAUUGUUUGCUUUCCAAUAAGAUUAUAAUGCUAUUUAUUUUUUUAUUUUAAAAAAAGCUGAUGUUGUUUAUCUAUGCUUUGUAUUGCCCGUAUCAAAGAAUGGGCACAAACCUAUCAAAAACUUAAUUUUGUUUAAGGUGUCAAUUUUCAUGUUGUCAUAGCAGGGUGGACCACUAUAUUGCUGAUAUGAACAGUUAAUAUAACGGCAAGUUCCUAAUGUAAAAAUCUGUAUAAGACAAUUUUUCAUCUUUGUUUCUACUCCCUCCUACCUUGUUUAUAAGGCACAUACCCAUAUCAAGAUUCAAACCUUUCUAUCUUUGACCAAUAAUUUAACUAUUAUUUUUUUAUUUUUAUAAUAUAAAUUUUAUAUGAUUGGAUUCGUAAUCAAAUAUAGUUUAUAAUGAUUAUAAGUUUAUAAUCAUAAGUGAUAUAAUAUAUGAUAAAUAAAUGAUCAAAGUAUCGUUUGGAAGACCGUGUCCUGUUGCACUAUGCCUUAUAAACGAGGAAGGAGGGAGUACAUAUCAUUACAAAUAUUUCAUUGUAUAAAAAUAAAUUUUUUUGGAGAAUAUUUAUUUCGUCCGUAGCAAAGCACGAGCAUGAACCUAGUCAAGACUAAAGUACAGGAGUGAUCAAUUAAGCAAAGGUAGAAGCAGGAGACGACCGAAUAAGGUACAAUACAAUGAGAACAAGCACAGCAAUGCCGCAUAUAACACAUCUGAACAUUCAGGCACUUCAUAAUUUAAGCAUGGGACAGAUGUAUGUACAAAUGAAAACAUCAACAUCUUUCAUUCACUCAGACAAGUAAAUCAUAAGGAAGAAACAGAGGUUAGUGACGAUGAGAAACUCAAA